AUUGAACGCUGGCGGCAGGCUUAACACAUGCAAGUCGAGCGGUAACAGAGAGAAGCUUGCUUCUCUGCUGACGAGCGGCGGACGGGUGAGUAAUGCCUAGGAAUCUGCCUAGUAGUGGGGGACUACUUGCCGAAAGGUAAGCUAGUACCGCAUACGUCCUACGGGAGAAAGGAGGGGACCCUCGGGCCUUUCGCUAUGAGAUGAGCCUAGGUCGGAUUAGUUAGUUGGUGGGGUAAUGGCGCACCAAGACCGCAAUCCGUAACUGGUCUGAGAGGAUGAUCAGUCACACUGGAACUGAGACACGGUCCAGACUCCUACGGGAGGCAGCAGUGGGGAAUAGUGGACAAUGGGGGGAAACCUGAUCCAGCCAUGCCGCGUGUGUGAAGAAGGUCUUAGGAUUGUAAAGCACUUUAAGUUGGGAGGAAGAGCAGUUAACUAAUAUUUGACUGUUUUGACGUUACCGACAGAAUAAGCACCGGCUAACUUCGUGCCAGCCGCCGCCGUAA
rnacentral:rRNA from 1 species